rnacentral:tRNA from 1 species
GCGUCGGUGGCAGAGUGGUCAAUUGCACUUGGCUGUAAACCAAGCGGAUUUAUCCUACGCAGGUUCGAAUCCUGCCCGGCGCA